GACUUUCUUGAGCACAAGGUCACCUUCUCGGAACACACGAGGCUUGACCUUCUUAUUGAAUGCUUUUUUCAUUCUCUGUUGAUAUAACUGACCAUGACACAUGGCAUUCAAUCUCUUCUCUUCAAUCAGAUUCAGUUGGUCGUAACGACUCUGAAUCCAUUCAGCAUCAGUCAACUUGGGGUUUGAGGGUGCUAUUUUUUCUUUUAUUUUUUCUAUACAUUUGUUCUUUAUUUUAUUUUUUUGAUUUUGAUUUUGAUUUUGAUUUUGAUUUUGAUUUUC
rnacentral:lncRNA from 1 species